rnacentral:rRNA from 1 species
UACGGAGGGGGCUAGCGUUGUUCGGAAUUACUGGGCGUAAAGCGCGCGUAGGCGGACCUGCAAGUCGGGGGUGAAAGCCCCGAGGCUCAACCUCGGAACUGCCUUCGAUACUGCGGGUCUCGAGUCCGGGAGAGGUGAGUGGAAUUCCUAGUGUAGAGGUGAAAUUCGUAGAUAUUAGGAAGAACACCAGUGGCGAAGGCGGCUCACUGGCCCGGUACUGACGCUGAGGCGCGAAAGCGUGGGGAGCAAACAGG